AACGCGAAGAACCUUACCUGGGCUCGAACGGCUUAAGAACUCCGGUGGAAACACUGGCUUUCCCGCAAGGGACUUGAGUCGAGGUGCUGCAUGGCUGUCGUCAGCUCGUGUCGUGAGAUGUUGGGUUAAGUCCCGCAACGAGCGCAACCCUUGCCCUGUGUUGCUAAUCCGUAAGGAUGCACUCUCAGGGGACCGCCAGCGAUAAGUUGGAGGAAGGUGGGGAUGACGUCAAGUCAUCAUGGCCUUUAUGUCCAGGGCUACACACGUGCUACAAUGGACGGUACAAAGCGCUGCAAACCCGCGAGGGGGAGCUAAUCGCAAAAAACCGUUCUCAGUUCGGAUCGCAGGCUGCAACUCGCCUGCGUGAAGCUGGAAUCGCUAGUAAUGGCAUAUCAGAACGAUGCCGUGAAUACGUUCCCGGGCCUUGUACACACCGUAGUAC
rnacentral:rRNA from 1 species